rnacentral:rRNA from 1 species
GACGAACGCUGGCGGCGUGCUUAACACAUGCAAGUCGAACGAUGAAGCCGGAGCUUGCUCCGGUGGAUUAGUGGCGCACGGGUGAGUAACACGUGAGCAAUCUGCCCUUGACUCUGGGAUAACUGCGGGAAACUGUAGCUAAUACCGGAUUCGACACCUUGGGGCAUCCCAGGGUGUGGAAAGAAUUUCGGUCAAGGAUGAGCUCGCGGCCUAUCAGCUAGUGGGUGAGGUCAUGGCUAGCCAAGGCAACGACGGGUAGCCGGGCUGAGAGGGUGACCGGCCAGACUGGAACUGAGACACGGUCCAGACUCCUACGGGAGGCAGCAGUGGGGAAUAUUGCACAAUGGGCGAAAGCCUGAUGCAGCAACGCCGCGUGAGGGAUGAAGGCCUUCGGGUUGUAAACCUCUUUUAGCAGGGAAGAAGCGAAAGUGACGGUACCUGCAGAAAAAGCACCGGCUAACUACGUGCCAGCAGCCGCCGUAA